rnacentral:rRNA from 1 species
GAUGAACGCUAGCGGCAGGCUUAAUACAUGCAAGUCGAGGGGCAGCACGGGUAGCAAUACUUGGUGGCGACCGGCGCACGGGUGCGUAAAACGUAUACAACCUACCUAUAACAGGGGGAUAGCCUGUCGUAAGAGAGAAUAAUACCCCGUAAUAAAUUGAGUGGCAUCACUUGCUUUUGAAAGCUCCGGCGGUUAUAGACGGGUAUGCGUUUGAUUAGCUAGUUGGUAGGGUAAUGGCCUACCAAGGCGACGGUCAAUAGGGGAUCUGAGAGGACUACCCCCCACACUGGUACUGAGACACGGACCAGACACCUACGGGAGGCAGCAGUAAGGAAUAUUGGACAAUGGUGGCAACACUGAUCCAGCCAUGCCGCGUGCAGGAAGACGGCCCUAUGGGUUGUAAACUGCUUUUGUAACAGAGAAAACCUAUCUACGUGUAGAUAGCUGAUAGUAUGGUAAGAAUAAGCAUCGGCUAACUUCGUGCCAGCAGCCGCCGUAAAAC